rnacentral:miRNA from 1 species
UCUGUUAGGUUAGCCAAAAAGUUCAUUUGGGUUUUUCUGUAAGAUGGUAUGGAAAAACCCAAACAAGCUUUUUGGUCAAACCAAUAU